rfam:TPA: Aspergillus nidulans FGSC A4 chromosome VIII
GGUUGUGUAGUGUAGAGGUUAUCACCAUCGGUUUUGAUGAGCUCCCAUCACAUCCGAUUGACCUGGGUUCGAACCCCAGCACGACCU